rnacentral:rRNA from 1 species
GACGAACGCUGGCGGCGUGCUUAACACAUGCAAGUCGAACGGGCCCGCCCCUGUUUUUGGGGGUGGGUUGAGUGGCGAACGGGUGAGUAUCACGUGAGUAACCUGCCCCCUGCUCCGGGAUAACUGCUUGAAAGGGCGGCUAAUACGGGGUGUGCCGGCUGGUCCGCAUGGGCCUGGUCGGGAUAGUUUCAUCUUCGGGUGUUUCGGUGGGGGAGGGGCUCGCGGCCUAUCAGCUUGUUGGUGGGGUGAUGGCCCACCAAGGCGGUGACGGGUAGCCGGCCUGAGAGGGUGGGCGGCCACACUGGGACUGAGACACGGCCCAGACUCCUGCGGGAGGCAGCAGUGGGGGGUAUUGCACAAUGGGCGGAAGCCUGAUGCAGCGACGUCGCGUGAGGGAUGGAGGCCUUCGGGUUGUGAACCUCUUUCUCCGGUGGUGAAGGCCCUGUCCGUUGCGGCGGGGUUGACGGUAGCCGGGUAUGAAGCGCCGGCUAACUACGUG